rnacentral:rRNA from 1 species
GAUGAACGCUGGCGGCGUGCUUAACACAUGCAAGUCGAACGAAGCACUUUUAUCGAUUUCUUCGGAAUGAAGUUUUAGUGACUGAGUGGCGGACGGGUGAGUAACGCGUGGGUAACCUGCCUCACACAGGGGGAUCACAGUUGGAAACGGCUGCUAAUACCGCAUAAGCGCACAGUCAUGCAUGGUACGGUGUGAAAAACUCCGGUGGUGUGAGAUGGACCCGCGUCUGAUUAGCUAGUUGGCAGGGCAACGGCCUACCAAGGCGACGAUCAGUAGCCGACCUGAGAGGGUGACCGGCCACAUUGGGACUGAGACACGGCCCAAACUCCUACGGGAGGCAGCAGUGGGGAAUAUUGCACAAUGGGGGAAACCCUGAUGCAGCGACGCCGCGUGAGCGAUGAAGUAUUUCGGUAUGUAAGGCUCUAUCAGCAGGGAAGAAAAUGACGGUACCUGACUAAGAAGCACCGGCUAAAUACGUGCCAGCCGCCGCCGUAA